CAAGAAGCCAUGGAGCUGGUGGACUGAAUGGCCCCUACCCACUUCAGAUCCUGGAACACACGGGUGCUCAGCUAACUGCGCCAACUUGAAAUUCACCGGGGAGACCCAGUCUGUGAAAUGGUGAGAAAGAUUUUUGGUUUAUUACCAGACUUGAAACCAGACCUGAGUGGUACUUAAAAUUUCAGAUACAGGAGCAGGGGGACUCCUUUACACCUGAGGAGGGCUUUUACAUCGCUGCGUUGGAACAGGCUCAGCACAGGAGAGGCUCGUGCCCUCUGUUGGUUGCCCCCGACUCACCACGAAGCAGCACAUGCCUCUGCAAGGACUGUUCCCUCCACAAACACACCAAUCCUGCAAUGCAGAACAAGCCUCUUGCCACCAGCUGUGCUUGCCCUGGAGGACUGCUGAGCUCCUCUCUAAAAUCCACUUAGUCCCUCACCUGGCAGGAGCUGCAUCUCAGAAGACUCAGGGAACCCUCUUUGCUGUAUUUUGAGAAGCCCUGGGGAGACUCCGUAGCCUGCAGGUUCCAUGUUAUUGAGAGAUUAUCUAAUGGAUUGGAGCAAUCUAACCUGAAAUCACUUGGUAGGAGAGGAGCCCAAAAUCCCAACGGGAGUAGUACCCCAUGAAAGAAUG